CAAGCUCUAGAAGCUCAUGCUGCUGCUUUUGCACAAUUUAAAGUUCCAGGGAAUGAGAAUCCUUCUACUCUCAUUUCCUUUGCAACAAAGACUUUUAAUGCUGGCCAAAUUACAUCAAAGUUGCAUGUUAUAGAGCUUGGUGCCCAACCAGGAAAACCUUCUUUUACAAAGAAACAAGCA